rnacentral:rRNA from 1 species
ACGGAAGGCAGCAGUGGGGAAUAUUGCACAAUGGGGGAAACCCUGAUGCAGCGACGCCGCGUGAGUGAAGAAGUAUUUCGGUAUGUAAAGCUCUAUCAGCAGGAAAGAAAAUGACGGUACCUGACUAAGAAGCCCCGGCUAACUACGUGCCAGCAGCCGCGGUAAUACGUAGGGGGCAAGCGUUAUCCGGAUUUACUGGGUGUAAAGGGAGCGUAGACGGCUUUGCAAGUCUGAAGUGAAAGCCCGGGGCUCAACCCCGGAACUGCUUUGGAAACUGUAGAGCUGGAGUGCAGGAGAGGUAAGUGGAAUUCCUAGUGUAGCGGUGAAAUGCGUAGAUAUUAGGAGGAACACCAGUGGCGAAGGCGGCUUACUGGACUGUAACUGACGUUGAGGCUCGAAGGCGUGGGGAGCGAACAGGAUUAGAUACCCUGGUA